UACGUAGGGGGCAAGCGUUGUCCGGAUUUAUUGGGCGUAAAGAGCGUGUAGGCGGCCAGGUAGGUCAGCUGUGAAAACUCGAGGCUCAACCUCGAGACGCCGGUUGAAACCAUCUGGCUAGAGUCCGGAAGAGGAGAGUGGAAUUCCUGGUGUAGCGGUGAAAUGCGCAGAUAUCGGGAAGAACACCGGUGGCGAAGGCGGCGACCUGGUCCUUUUACUGACGCUGAGGCGCGAAGCGUGGGGAGCAAACAGG
rnacentral:rRNA from 1 species